rnacentral:rRNA from 1 species
UACAGGGGGUGCAAACGUUGCUCGGAAUCAUUGGGCGUAAAGCGCACGUAGGCGGUUCGUUAUGUCGGAUGUGAAAGCCCUUGGCUUAACCGAGGAAGUGCAUCCGAAACUGGCGAGCUAGAGUACUAAAGAGGAUCGCGGAAUUCCCGGUGUAGAGGUGAAAUUCGUAGAUAUCGGGAGGAACACCGAUGGCGAAGGCAGGUCUCUGGGCUGACACUGACGCUCAUGCACGAAAGCGUGGGGAGCAAACAGG